CCUACGGGAGGCAGCAGUGAGGAAUAUUGGUCAAUGGACGCAAGCCUGAACCAGCCAUGCCGCGUGCAGGAAGACGGCCCUACGAGUUGUAAACUUCUUUUGUACGGGGGUAAACGCAGAUACGCGUAUCUUUCUGAAAGUAUUUUACGAAUAAGGAUCGGCUAACUCCGUGCCAGCAGCCGCGGUAAUACGGAGGAUUCAAGCGUUAUCCGGAUUUAUUGGGUUUAAAGGGUGCGUAGGCGGUCGGAUAAGUUAGUUGUGAAAGCUCGAGGCUCAACCUAGAAAUUGCCUCUGAUACUGUGCGGCUAGAGAGUAGUUGAGGUAGGCGGAAUUGAUGGUGUAGCGGUGAAAUGCUUAGAGAUCAUACAGAACACCGAUUGCGAAGGCAGCUUACCAAGCUACCUCUGACGUUGAGGCACGAAAGCGUGGGGAGCAAACAGGAUUAGAUACCCGAGUAGUC
rnacentral:rRNA from 1 species